rnacentral:rRNA from 1 species
CCGCGGUAAUUCCAGCUCCAAUAGCGUAUACUAAAGUUGUUGCGGUUAAAAAGCUCGUAGUUGGAUCUUGGAAUGUGUUCAAGCGGGUCAGCUUCUGGCUGUGCGCUGCUUGACGUGUUCUUCUAUUUGGUUUUGGUGCGGUGCGCUUAACUGCGUGUCGCUCCCGGCCGAAACGUUUACCUUGAAAAAAUUAGAGUGUUCAAAGCAGACCUGUUUGAGUCUGAAUAUUCGUGCAUGGAAUAAUGAAAUAUGAAUUCGGUUCUAUUUUGUUGGUUUUCGGAACUCGAGUUAAUGAUCAAGAGGGACAGACGGGGGCAUUCGUACUCUGCCGUUAGAGGUGAAAUUCUUGGAUCGGCGGAAGACGCGCAACUGCGAAAGCAUUUGCCAAGAAUGUUUUCUUUAAUCAAGAACGAUAGUCGGAGGUUCGAAGACGAUCAGAUACCGUCCUAGUUUCGACUGUAAACUAUGCCAGCUAACGAUCAGACAGAGUUCUCUACGACUUGUCUGGCAGUUUCCGGGAAACCAAAGCGUUUGGGUUCCGGGGGAAGUAUGGUUGCAAAGCUGAAACUUAAAGGAAUUGACGGAAGGGCACCACCAGGAGUGGAGCCUGCGGCUUAAUUUGACUCAACACGGGGAAACUCACCCGGCCCGGACACAGUGAGGAUUGACAGAUUGAGAGUUCUUUCUUGAUUCUGUGGGUGGUGGUGCAUGGGCCGUUCUUAGUUGGUGGAGCGAUUUGUCUGGUUAAUUCCGAUAACGAACGAGACUCUGGCAUGUUAAAUAGUCGCGGAAGUGCGUAUGCACUUGCCGAAUUGACUUCUUAGAGGGACUAGUGAUUUUAAUUCACACGAGAUUGAGCAAUAACAGGUCUGUGA